UAUGCAUGCGUGCAUGCAUGCAUGCAAUUAUGCAUGCAUGCAUGCAAUUAUGCAUGUGUACAUGCAUGCAUGCAUGCACUUUUGCA